rnacentral:rRNA from 1 species
UACGUAGGGCGCAAGCGUUAUCCGGAAUUAUUGGGCGUAAAGAGCUCGUAGGCGGUUUGUCGCGUCUGACGUGAAAGUCCGGGGCUCAACUCCGGAUCUGCGGUGGGUACGGGCAGACUAGAGUGCGGUAGGGGAGACUGGAAUUCCUGGUGUAGCGGUGAAAUGCGCAGAUAUCAGGAGGAACACCGGUGGCGAAGGCGGUUCUCUGGGCAUGAUCUGACGCUGAGGAGCGAAAGUGUGGGGAGCGAACAGG